rnacentral:rRNA from 1 species
GACGAACGCUGGCGGCGUGCUUAACACAUGCAAGUCGAGCGGUAAGGCCCUUUCGGGGGUACACGAGCGGCGAACGGGUGAGUAACACGUGGGUGACCUGCCCUCAGCUCUGGGAUAAGCCUGGGAAACCGGGUCUAAUACCGGAUAUGACUCCAUGACGCAUGUUGUGGGGUGGAAAGCCUUGUGCGGCUGAGGAUGGGCCCGC